AUAUUACUCAGCGGAGGAAAAGAAAACAACCGUGAUUCCCUCAGUCAGCGGCGAGCGAAGAGGGACCGAACCCAAUGCCGAAUCCGCUCUUAAACGAGUGUGAGUUGUGGCUUUCGCCAUGCGUGGUUGGUGUGGGACUGGCAAAAUUCAAGCGCAAAGCAAACCCAUUGCUGAAACCUACCCUUCAGUUGAGUAUUGAGCCAUAGAAGGUGUUAGCCCAUUUGAGCCAGAAACCCAUGCCUCAUCAAGUGGCACAAGAGAGUAGCACUGCUUGGGAGUGCAGUGUUAAGCGGCAGGUAUGUGUCUGCCAAGGUUAAAUAUAAAGUGGGAAGACCGAUAGCAAACAAGUAGCGUGAGCGAAAGUUUGAAAAGAUCUUUGGAAAGAGAGUGACAUAGAACCUGAAGUCGUGACAACGAUAAUGGAAGUACCUCCAUUUUAUUCUUGCCAAAACCAGCCCUGCGGCAUUCUACGCGG
rnacentral:rRNA from 1 species